UGGUUUCUUGUCUAGUCAAACAAAUCUUUUUGCCUUUUACUAAAGAUUUCCGUGGAGAGAGACAUUAAA
rnacentral:snRNA from 1 species